UACGUAGGGUCCGAGCGUUGUCCGGAAUUAUUGGGCGUAAAGGGCUCGUAGGCGGUUUGUCACGUCUGCUGUGAAAUCCCGAGGCUCAACCUCGGGCCUGCAGUGGGUACGGGCAGACUGGAGUGCGGUAGGGGAGAAUGGAAUUCCUGGUGUAGCGGUGGAAUGCGCAGAUAUCAGGAGGAACACCGAUGGCGAAGGCAGUGCUCUGGGACGUAACUGACGCUGAGGAGCGAAAGCGUGGGGAGCGAACAGG
rnacentral:rRNA from 1 species